AGGCGGCACCCGGACCCGUCCUGCCGGGCUGGGCCGGGCGCGGCCGGGGGAGCGGGGCUCUUUCCCCUAGGGUCCCUUCCCCUCAGGGUCGCUGGGUCGGCGUGAAGGGGCAGAAGAGGCGCUGGGACGUGGGCCGAGGCGGGGCCACCGGCGCUGGGGAUGUGCCAUGGGGAGGGGACAAACCCGGCGUUGUCGAAGGGUCACUGAGGAAGGAGGUGGCCAAGCCCUUUGGCUUUGGCAGCCGCCAACCCCGCCGAGCGGCUGCAGGGGUGUAGGGGUCGCUCCCCUCUGGCCAAGUCCGGCUCUCAGGAGCGUUUGAUUAUAGAAAGCAAAAAGUGAGGUAUACUGUUUUUCUUUUGAAUCCUGAAGUUCUUGCUUUCUUUUCAAUGCGAGCGAUCGUGCACUGAAACAGAUUGCCCAGAGUCCCCUCGCUGGAGAUUCAAGAGCCGUCUGGAUACAAUGCUGUGCGCUGUGCUCUGAGGUGCCCCUGCUUGAGCAGGGAGUUUGGACGAGAUGACCCAAAGUGGUCCCUUCCAGUCUUGCCCAUUCCGUGGCUCUUCAGCAGGACUGAAGCUUUGUGCCCUUCUCCGCCCGCGUACAUACACAGCGCUCCGUGGUUUCCUCUAAGCGAAACAAGGGUGGAGAAAAUAGAGAAACUAUUAGAGAAAAUAGAGGUGGAGGGGCUACAUGACUUACAUAGAAAAACCCAACAUUGAUCAUCCUUACCACCUCAACAAUUAGCACAGCAUCAGCUUGUAUGAAUAUUAUGGAAGUACCUAGUAACCUUCAGACAAUCUACUGUUCACAGAGCAACACCACAGAGGAGAAGGGUGUUCCCCUGUGUAAAAAUGAUUUUUUUUUGGCUGCUGCUGCAGAGAGAAGUCACUGGAUGCUUUCUGCAGGCUCUGGUGAAUUCUCUAAGAUAAUCAUUCCAGAUUGCAGCCCUGAGGCAGCUGAGUGAUACCAUUACUACAGAAGGGUUUGCACCUGCUGAAUGGAUGUUAGUUGCUUUGUGUCAGGGGUGGCCUCUAUGUAGCAGGGACUGCAGUCAUAUCUGUAAAACACAUAAAAAUGAUGAUAGAAAUAGCUACACUCACUAUACUUGUAUAAGUAGCAUGGUGGCUAGCACACUAUAUAGGUAAUUCUUCUCUUCUCACACUGCCACAGCUAACUGCUGGCAUGACCAAGGUAAUUUGUAGCUAACUAGGCCAACCUAGAAAAGAUUCAGUGUGGCCAUUUAGUUGUGAGAGCCUCCAGAACAACUGUUGGCAAAGAUAAUUGAACUGGGACUGUUCCAUUCUUUUACAGGCAGUCAGUUCUUUCUAUAAACCCCAUGAGGAUUAGAAAUUUCUUAUGGAAAAGAUCUGAAUUAAGAACUGCUGCUUGUAGAGGCUUUUGUUUACUUUAUGUGUUGCAUUUAUCCUUGUUGCUUUAUGAAGAUUAUAGACUUCUUAUCUAAUUCAGAGGACUUUUCCCUUGAGAUAAAUAUUUGUAGAGGUUCAUGUGUGGUUGUAUUUAUAAGCAGCAGUCUGAAAGAAAUUUUGUUACUCAGGUUGGAUCCAAGCAACUAAACAGGAUGAACCUACUUCUCAGAAAAUUUGGAAGACAGCUAAAGAUAUCCAGUCAUAAAGAUUCAAAUGUUUUCCUUUGUAGUAAAAUGGCUACCCAGAUCACCUCCACAUGUGAAUAAGCAUUCCCAAGAAAGCAGGGCGAUAUCACUGUAUGUAUCUACCCCCUGGGUCAUGUGCUAGCAGAGACAUCCAUAACCAAGGAUGCAUACAUGUGGCAAUUACAUCGUUAAUUUCAUUAGUUAAUAUUGGUAUUUUGGCAGCAUUUCUACAAGUUGUAUUCAGUAUUUCACAAAUAGCAGCCACUUGCUGGAACCUGCUCCCAGGGCACAGUGGAUGAGCUUGUCUGUCUCCUCACAUCAGUGCAUGGAUGUGCUCUUGGCUACCUGCUGGCUAGGGCAUAGGAAAUUCCAGGUCUGAAUACUCACUGUUCCACCUGAGAGCCAAGCCCUGGAGCUACUGAACAGAUCAUUAAGUGGGAUGUCAAACUUGUUCAGCCAGUCUGAAACCUUAUUUCCUUUUGACAGCAUGGUCAUCAGUAGAUUCCUAUGGCUGUUUAUUUCUAAGGGCCUUGCUUCCCUGCUUCAGUCAUAACGAACUAAACCAUGCCAUGAUCUAAGAACAUUUGAUAAACAAUAGAAUUAUAAAAUUAGAAGUUGACAUGUACUAAGUAUUGACAGACUCUUCACCAAGUGGCUCUACUGACCCACUCAGCCACACUUUGUUAUGGGUGAUACAAAUGUCUGGUGGGCUUGAAUGCCAUAGUUUGUUAGGAGACAAGGUCACAGAAAGCCAAAACCAGCCUUACCAACAGUAGAAUUUCAAAGAAAUUGACAUUUCAUUGUCCUGUGAUGAGCAGCUGAGGGAGUUGGUGUUCUUUAGCCUGGAAGAGGCUCAGGGGUCACUCACUCUCCACAACAACCUGAAAGAAGGUUGUAGCCAGGUGGGGGGCAGCCUCUUCUCCCAGGCAGCUUAUGACAGGAUGAGAGGACAUAGUCUUAAGCUGUGUCAGGGGAGGUUUAGGUUUGACAAUCAGGAGGAAUUUCUUCACAGAAAGAGUUAUUGGACGUUGGAAUGGACUGCCCAGAGAGGUGAUGCAGUCACUAUCCCUGGAGGUGUUUAAGAAGGACUGGACAUGGCAUUUAGUGCCAUGAUCUAGUUGAUACAGUGCUGUUCAAUUAGAGGUCUUUUUCAAUCUGAUUGAUUCUGUGAUUAAUUUUUUCCUCCUUCAGGACAUUUCAAACCUUCCUUUGUAAACUAGUUCCUAAAAAUUAUUAGGAACUCUGCUACCAAACUUCAUAAUGUGCUGGAAUCACCUCUAGAUUGUUUCCUUUUGGGUUUACCAUUAUGUUUCACUAAGAAGUUAAAUCCAUUGCUAGAAACCAAAUUACUUUUUUGUUGUAUCUCUGCAAGAAAAACAACCACUAUUAAAGAUUUUAAUUUUUGAUUGCCUGUUAAUGACUUUUCCAGUAGCUGCUUUUUUUAACCACAGGACACUGCUCCUUUUGAAAUCCUCUACCACCUCCUUAGUAGUAUCCUACAGCUACUUUCUCAUUACAUUCUUCUUUUCUAUUCAUACUGUAUAAUGCUUCUCCUUGGCUUGUCUUAGUGUGAUUCAUUGUUUUUACAUACAUUCACAGUUCUGCACUAUUUCUUCCUCUCUGAUAUUACAGAAACAAUGUGCAUCAUAAAAAUGAGCUUCCUAAAUUACAGCUUCUGACUGAUCAUUACAUUACCCAAACCAAAUUUCAAAGAUUACACAGAGAACCCAAUACUUCCCAUAUUAAGUAGCACUACAAUCUUCUUUGAUUUAUCUUUUAAUCUGCACUACCUUAUCUCAAAAAUAUUAUAUAAAUAGCUAAGGUUAAAUUUUCUGAAGACAUCUGCUAAGGCAUUAUUUCCUAUGUCAAAAUCAAUAUGUUAUUUAUAUUUGCUUUUAAUAGGUAUAGAUGAUACAGAGUCAUUGAUUACAGUCCCUUGUGUUACAGACUUUCUCCUCAGGCAAAAGACACAUUUACACAAUACCCAGAGCAUAAUACAUAUUUUAGAACAUUGACAGAUGUUGAAAACAAGCAUAGUUCAUCUGAAGUCUUUCCAGACAGCAUUCAUUUUGCUGUGGAAAAUGUCUUUGUGCCCCCAGAGCUGGUUGCAGACCUCUUACCGAUUUCACGAUAUGUAGGUUUUCAUUUUCAUUUUUAAGGAACUACUCAUUUUUCAAUGAGUAUGCCUGAAUGGGUCAUUGUGUUUUAACAGAAAUUGUCAUGGAGAGGCAAGGAUGCUCUUCAGGAAUGGAAAAGAAAGAAGGAAAAGGGAGAUGUAUGUUUUGGUUUAGGCUGAAACUGGAGUAAAGUGUUACUUUGACAAAACGAUAAUAAAUCAUUGGUCUUUCUCAUGGUUUAAGCCUAACUGGAAAUAAGGCCCCACAGAGGCUCUCCCCUUCCCCACCCCUCUAGUCAAAGAGAAAAAAGGUAGGGAUCCUGAGCUAAGAACAAUUUACUGGAAACGGCAAUAAGAUUAUCAGCAACACUAUUAAUAGCAAAAGUAUUGUUGGGGGUUAGGUGUCCUUCCUUUAGUUCUGGCUCUGGAAUUUUUACCCAUUAGUUGCGGGGAAAACCUCACUGCGGGUACUUGGUGGGAACUUGAGAAACACAAAGAGACACAAAGAGUUUGGCUGGGCCCAGGGGGGAAGUGGAGCAGGAAAAGGGAAGGCGGGGACAGUUUUGCUGGCUUCUUCAGCUUCAGAGAAAGACACUCGCUGGGAGCUGUUGCUGCGGGGAGAAGGGAAUUCACCAUCACCCAGAUGGAGCUGCUGCUGCUUCUCCUUCCCUCUUCGCUGCUGAGCCUCGCACCCCUUGUCCUGCCGGGACGUGUGGCAGUGCCAGGCACCGCCGCGGAGCUGCUGAUCCACCUCAUCCACCAGCCCAGGAUCGCAGCUCGUCCCUGCUGUUCCAGCUGACUGUUUCCUCGGAGCCCUGCAGGAGCACCGGGACUGACUGCCCGAGGGGUUUGUGAAACAAAACCUCUCCUCCAUCCCGUCUCAGCCGAGAAGGCUGUCACGGGGUCCCUGGUUCUGUUUUCUUGUUAAUGUUGUAGUUAUUGUUGUUUGUUUGCCUUGCUAUAAAUAGUAGUAAAGAACUGUUAUUCCUAUCCCCAGAUCUCUGCCUGAGAGCCCUUGAUUUCAAAAUUAUAGUAAUUUGGAGGGAGGCUCCUGUCCUC